UUUUUACAAGGAUUGUCCUAAAAGGAUGAAUGUUACUGCUCCCAUAUUUUGUAGUAAUGAUAUUGUAGACACAACACAAAUGCCCAAUUAGUUUGGUUAAGAUGUCUUUAUUACCGACUGGUGUGAUACGUUCGAAGAAUUUAAUACCAACUUCGUAUGUUGGAGUUGGCAAUUCCCCUUUGAAAAUAUAUGGAAAUAUUUCUUGUUUAAUAAAAUUUAAAAAAUCGUCUAAACAAAUAGAAUUACUUGUUGUUCCGAACGAGAGCAUUCAUGUUCCAAUGAUUCUUGGACGGAACUUUAUGCAAGCAUUUAAUGUAAAAUUACUUCAAGUCAAGGAAACUACGAAUGAUAUAGAAGUAUUUGAAUCCACAAGAAAAAUAAAUGACAAUAAUAAUAUAA